GAACGCUGGCGGCAUGCCUUACACAUGCAAGUCGAACGGCAGCACGGGAGCAAUCCUGGUGGCGAGUGGCGAACGGGUGAGUAAUAUAUCGGAACGUGCCCAGUCGUGGGGGAUAACGUAGCGAAAGCUACGCUAAUACCGCAUACGAUCUAAGGAUGAAANCGGGGGAUCGCAAGACCUCGCGCGAUUGGAGCGGCCGAUAUCAGAUUAGGUAGUUGGUGAGGUAAAAGGCUCACCAAGCCAACGAUCUGUAGCUGGUCUGAGAGGACGACCAGCCACACUGGAACUGAGACACGGUCCAGACUCCUACGGGAGGCAGCAGUGGGGAAUUUUUGGACAAUGGACGCAAGUCUGAUCCAGCCAUUCCGCGUGCAGGAUGAAGGCCCUCGGGUUGUAAACUGCUUUUGUACGGAACGAAAAGGUUUCUAUUAAUACUAGGAGCUCAUGACGGUACCGUAAGAAUAAGCACCGGCUAACUACGUG
rnacentral:rRNA from 1 species